rnacentral:lncRNA from 1 species
GGGAAAUUAACACAGUCCAAUCAACAUGUUAAACUCAUGCACAAGAGUUUGAUAAAAACAUAUUUCUUUGGAUCCAUAUUUCUAACAUAUAAUCAGCCACAUACAGGUUCUUCUGCUAGAGUAAUUUACAUUGAUGAAAAUGGGAGUUAAACACAACAGAAAUGAAAAUGGGAGCAGAAGAUUGUAGCUGAAGAGACAACAUUCUCAUUGUCCGGGGACAAAGUUAGUAGCAAAAGCCCAUGCGUUGUUCGCGACAGGGUCAGCAACAUGGUCAUAAAGGUUCUGAAUAGGGCCCUUGCCAGUAACAAUGGCUUGAACAAAGAAACCAAACAUGGAGAACAUAGCCAGCCGACCAUUCUUGAGUUCCUUGACCUUCAACUCUGCAAAUGAAUCAGGGUCAUCAGCAAGGCCAAGAGGGUCAAAAGCACCACCAGGGUAAAGUGGGUCUAGUCCUUCGCCGAGGGGUCCUCCUCCAACUCUGUAGCCUUCAACAAAUCCCAUGAGCACAACCUGAGUAGCCCAGAUUGCAAGAAUGCUCUGAGCAUGAAUCAGGUUUGGGUUGCCCAAAUAGUCAAGGCCACCCUCCGCAAAGAUCUGGGAACCGGCUUUGAACCACACUGCCUCGCCGAAUUUAACACCAUUCUUUUCAAGGAGUUCGGGGAAGGUACAUCCCAAUGCACCAAGCAUAGCCCAUCUGCUGUGAAUUACUUCAAGCUCACGGUUCCUUGCAAAUGUUUCAGGGUCAGCUGAUAAUCCAGCUGUGUCCCAUCCAUAGUCACCAGGAAAUUCACCAGUCAGGUAGGAUGGAAUUUGUUCAGAGAAUGGACCCAAGUACUUGGGACGGUCAGGACCAUACCUGGUUUUCACAACAGAUCAUUCCAAGUCAAAUAUACAAACAAAUUAUCACAACUUUCAAAUAUCAGUCAUUACCUCUAUAGUACCGAAAAGUCUGAAAAAAUAUGUGUCUGUGUCAAUUUCAAUUUAUUAUUAUUUUUUCCGAAUUAUGUCGGGGUCGAUGUUAUGUGUCUGGUGUCCGUGCUUCAUAGGUCAUUAGCAUUUCAAUCACUGGCUUUUGGGUCUGACCCAACUAGCUAAUAAUUAGUUAUGAUGUUUGUAAGAGACAUGAUGAGUUAAAGGAAUGUUAAAAACCAGAACUUUAUGUAUUUUAACAUAUGCAAAAGCUAAAUUUUGACUGUAACUGAACUACUUACCAAAUGCUUUCAGGAGCACUCUUCACAGUACGACGCAUGGUAAAGCGAGCUUGGCCAAAGUUUCCAGCUUUCCUGAUGAAUUCAUUUCCCUGCCUCAAACCAGUCUUACCAGUGAAAGCUGAUUGUUGGAUAGCAGAGGUGGCCAUGAGGGCGUUGAGACUCCUUGCACUUUGAUGUUGUUCUCUUCGAUGCUAC